CCUGGGGUCAUCGCGAGUGUGAAAGCGGCUUCCACAGAGGACACUUGCUCCGGGACCAGAGAGUCCCCGGCGCCGGGUUUUCAAGGAGCGGAGCAAGCAGGGCGCUGGGAAGCGAGCGGCACUGCCGCAUUCGUGGGAGAAGAGUGACCCCCGCUGGCCGCCGCCCGAAAGGAGCCUACGUCCUGCCUGGCUCCGCUCCCGGAGAAGGGCAGCCCGACCCGAAGCUGUGCGAAGGAGGAUGAGGAGGAAGACCGCCGUGUGGCGUAGCAGAGGCCUGCUCGGCUCUCUCCUCACGCUCCCUUACAGCAGCCGGGAUUGCUGCCGUUCUGCGUCUGUCUGCGCGGCGACCCCAUGUUCCACGGGCAGAGCAGUCCCGCCCGGGGUGGCCCCAGGGACUUUGGUCAGCAGUGAGCCCAGGAGUUUUACCCUGGCCAUGCACUGAGUCUGCUGGUGCCUUUGCAUCGUCCACAGAAGCUCCUCUCCAGGCCCUGCGCUUCCCUGCGGAGCGUGAGUAGCCCAGCAGACAGCAGCCCCUGCUGCCUGGGGCUCCGGCUCCACCGGAGCUGAUGUGGCAAUGAACUGCCUCCAGCCACUAAGCUCUGACUACCAGCCACAGACGAGGUCCCAAGCGCAGCAGUCACUCCAGCAAGCAGGCCAUGGGCUCCUGCGCAGUCCCUGACUCUGUGAUGCAGAGGGACGUGGUUUACUGGCAGUAGGGGUCGUAUUGGAAGCUCUGAGUAGCUGCAU